rnacentral:rRNA from 1 species
UCGAGAGGCUUCGGCAAUGGGGGCAACCCUGACCGAGCGACGCCGCGUGGGGGAUGAAGGCCUUUGGGUUGUAAACCCCUUUCGACCGGGAAGAAUGAUCAUCGGGUGAAUAAUCCGGCGAUUUGACGGUACCGGUAGAAGAAGCUCCGGCUAACUCCGUGCCAGCAGCCGCGGUAACACGGGGGGAGCGAACGUUGUUCGGAAUCACUGGGCGUAAAGGGCGUGUAGGCGGUUCGGUAAGUGGGAUGUGAAAGCCCCCGGCUCACCCGGGGAACUGCAUCUCAUACUGCUGGACUUGAGUGCGGGAGAGGAUGGGGGAAUUCCUGGUGUAGCGGUGAAAUGCGUAGAUAUCAGGAGGAACACCUGUGGCGAAGGCGCCCAUCUGGCCCGUUACUGACGCUGAGGCGCGAAAGCUAGGGGAGCAAACGG